AAUCUUUGUCUGGCACCCACAUGUCUCUGAAAAUGCACACUCUUCCUUGAUUAUGUCAAAUGCAAAGCCAGAGUCUCCACUAGAGGUAUUUUGUGUCAGCAAUGUUGAGUGAGAUACCUUCAAUCUGAACACCCUGACUACAUGAAUGUUAGAAUCAGCUCAAUAUGGAUAAAUGCCUACAUUCUAAUGGGAGUAGGAGGGAUCAGCUAACAAUAACAACAACAACAAAAAACCUAUCUAAUGAUAGAUGGUAGGAACCUGAGCUAUCAAGGAAAAUAAGACAGAUUAGAAGAAAUGACAGUAGCAGAAGGACAGGGGCAUUCUUGCCUCAGACAUGUGAAUGAGAUUGAGCAGAAGUUGAAAUGAAAGGAAUCGAGUUUCAUGAAAGCAAAUAGGAAGAAUCUUCAGUGUGGAAAAAGAGCAAAUAAAUGGCAAGUACCAAGGAUUCCAGGAGAGCAAGACAGGCAGGCAAAGUGACGCACAACUAGAGUCUUUCAAGAAUGAAAGCACGGGCUUGGCCAAGACCAUUGCCAGGACUCGAGCAGUGAGCCAGGAGAAGGGUGACCUCAGAGCAGCAGCCAGGGCCGAGCUUUCACCGUGCCAGCUUAGUGUCCUCUCCUCUGAGUGGAGUGGGCCUGUAUCAGGCUUUGGGUGUAUUAUCAUGAACUGACUACACUUUCGGUUCAUGAAACCUUUGAAAUGACUCAGACUGCAGCCAACAUACGACCCGUCAUCAACUUUAUUGCCCAUCACUCCAUAUCUUGCCUACUUUGCCAUAGUCAAACCCAUCUGGUCCACUGAGGUUUUGCUCAUGUUGUUUUCCUUGUGUGAAUUUGCCCUUGUUACCAAUUGUGACAGAUGUAUGAGGUCUUGCUU